AUAUGGCAAUGACACUGAAUAUAUCGUAUCAGACAAUGCAUGUUGCUUUAUGUCUUACUGUUUAUAAUAGAUCUUAAUUUUCUGGAAUUCAUCGUUGUAAUUUGACCGAGCUUCUUUCAUGGACAAGUUAGUUAUUCACGUCAUAUAAACACGACGGUGUCUACUUGUAGAAACGAGUACAAUGCCCAACUUUAUAGGUCUGCCUAACCUGUAUACAACGCCGUUGACACGAAACACCAUACUCAGCCACAUUAUACAGAUGGUACUUAGCCAAGAAAAUCUAAGGAUCUAAGGGGAACAACUCUGAAUUGACCAAUAAACUGAAGCCAACAUAAAACAUUGGUCUAAAGUGAAAGAAAAAUUAAAUAGGUCCUUUUACCAACAACUGAUCGGGCAGACAAAAUAUGACCUACAUUUGUUUAAAUCUCUUUGU
rnacentral:lncRNA from 1 species